GGGAGUGGAUGGGCCCCGGUGGGCCUCUCGGUCUUCAAAACCGAUGCGGGGCGGUAGGACCGUCCUGGGUGGGUUCGACUCCCAUGCACUCCCGCCA
rnacentral:tRNA from 1 species